rnacentral:rRNA from 1 species
UNGGAAUUACUGGGCGUAAAGCGGGCGCNGACGGUUACUUAAGCAGGAUGUGAAAUCCCCGGGCUCAACCUGGGAACUGCGUUNUGAACUGGGUGACUAGAGUGUGUCAGAGGGAGGUAGAAUUCCACGUGUAGCAGUGAAAUGCGUAGAGAUGUGGAGGAAUACCGAUGGCGAAGGCAGCCUCCUGGGAUAACACUGACGUUCAUGCCCGAAAGCGUGGGUAGCAAACAGGAUUAGAUACCCUGGUAGUNCACGCCCUAAACGAUGUCGAUUAGCUGUUGGGCAGCAUGACUGCUUAGUAGCGAAGCUAACGCGUGAAAUCGACCGCCUGGGGAGUACGGUCGCAAGAUUAAAACUCAAAGGAAUUGACGGGGACCCGCACAAGCGGUGGAUGAUGUGGAUUAAUUCGAUGCAACGCGAAGAACCUUACCUGGUCUUGACAUGUACGGAACCCUCCAGAGACGGAGGGGUGCCUUCGGGAGCCGUAACACAGGUGCUGCAUGGCUGUCGUCAGCUCGUGUCGUGAGAUGUUGGGUUAAGUCCCGCAACGAGCGCAACCCUUGUCAUUAGUUGCCAUCAUUAAGUUGGGCACUCUAAUGAGACUGCCGGUGACAAGCCGGAGGAAGGUGGGGAUGACGUCAAGUCCUCAUGGCCCUUAUGACCAGGGCUUCACACGUCAUACAAUGGUCGGUACAGAGGGUAGCCAAGCCGCGAGGUGGAGCCAAUCUCACAAAACCGAUCGUAGUCCGGAUUGCACUCUGCAACUCGAGUGCAUGAAGUCGGAAUCGCUAGUAAUCGCAGGUCAGCAUACUGCGGUGAAUACGUUCCCGGGUCUUGUACACACCGCCCGUCACACCAUGGGAGUGGGGGAUACCAGAAGUAGGUAGGGUAACCGCAAGGAGCC